UAAACACAUGCACUAUAUAUUUUUUUCUUCACUCAUUUAUUACUGUUCUUAUUUUAUUAUUUUAACUCAUGUCCAAUGUCCAGAAAUCUUUUGUCACACAUCUGUGACCUCUUCAGUGACACUUUUCAUUUUCAUGUGUGUUCUUACUUCACUUACUCCGUUCUGUUCUUCUAAGAUAUGUAUCCUUAUGUGCACAUGUGUAUGUGUCCUUUUUUGUGUGUGUGUGUGUUCUGUGUGUGUGU